rnacentral:lncRNA from 1 species
CCAACUCAGAACCAGUUCCAAUCAAAAUAACAUCAGGCUUGUUACCUGAUGAGUUGUCUGAAAUGGUGUAGCCACCCUUUUCAACACCUUCAAUAGAAGUUCCCGGAAGGUUAGGCAACUUUUGCCGAGAAAGGGCCAGAAUUGAGGGUCUCUUCUGGUUAAGCACGGCAACUCUGUAUGAUCCAGCAGUUUCAUUACCAUCAGCUGGACGAAGCAUCAAAACAUUUGGCAUUGCUCGGAAGCUUGCCAGGUGCUCUAUUGGCUGAUGAGUUGGUCCAUCCUCUCCAAGUCCAAUUGAAUCAUGGGUCAUAACAUAAAUAACUCCGGCUUCACACAAAGCUGAAAUCCUUAUGGCAGCUCUCAUGUAGUCGGUGAAGACAAAGAAAGUUGC